GAUCCCCUCUUCGGAGGUCUGUGUAGAGGUGCUGCAUGGCUGUCGUCAGCUCGUGUCGUGAGAUGUUGGGUUAAGUCCCGCAACGAGCGCAACCCUUGUUCACAGUUACUAACGCGUGAUGGCGAGAACUCUGUGGAGACUGCCGGUGAUAAACCGGAGGAAGGUGGGGAUGACGUCAAGUCCUCAUGGCCUUUAUGUCCAGGGCUACACACGUGCUACAAUGGACGGUACAGAGAGUCGCGAGACCGCGAGGUGGAGCUAAUCUCAAAAAGCCGUUCUCAGUUCGGAUUGCACUCUGCAACUCGAGUGCAUGAAGUUGGAAUCGCUAGUAAUCGCGGAUCAGCACGCCGCGGUGAAUACGUUCCCGGGCCUU
rnacentral:rRNA from 1 species